GAACAUUUAAUAAUGUGUUUGUGUAUCCUUUUCUACAUGCUCUCUGCAUCUUUAUGUUGAAAAUUUGUCUACUAUGACGUUUUCCCUAAGAUCUUAGCUAAGUCUUUUAUUAGGUGGAUGAUAAAUCAUAUAGGUUGAUCUGGGUGUUUAAGUUAUGUGGCCCUUGAGGUAGGGCAGUGCCUUAAACCGUUUCUAACCAAAUUUAAGCCGCGCCUAACUGAAUCCUUCGUGUCCAUUUAUACAUGUGAAACCAUUUACAUGGCCAACCAAAUGGCAUGGGCAAUAAAGCCGAAGCUUUAGGCCAAUAAAACCAAAGCUUUAGGCCUCCUCUUCUGCAAGGCUUCAAUUUUUAUUUCAUGUUAGUAUGUUAUACAUGUAGAGGUUGCCAAGGUUUAUAAGUGGGUUUUUUCUUCUUCAUAAAAAAGACCCUUCAUCUCCUCUUCUACUAAGGCCUCAAUUAUAUUUGAAUGAUGUAUUUAUAAGGUGGUCCAAGUAACCCUUCAUCUCCUCCUUCAUAUGACUUAAUCAACUGAAAAUAUGCCUGCCAUCUUUUUUUAGGGUUUACUUUCAUAAGGUGUGGGUGCCAUCUCUAUUUCUUUUUGCCUGACUGGUCCCAUCCCUCUAUUUCUUUUUGCCCUUGCCUCUCAUUCGCCAUUUCAGAUAUUCCUGUUGGUGGUGCCAUUAUAAUCGCAACCGCCAUACCCUGCCAUGAAUACCACAUAUACAGUAGCUUACCUAAUACCCAAAUACUGUGCUGCAUGUUGCCACCAAUACUGCUGUUUUAGUCAGCCUUGCUUUUGAAGGUCCCAUGCAUCUAUAGAAUAGCAAUGAUGGGGGAGGUUUUUAAGGGGGCAGCUGGAUGAUGCAAUUGCCAUUAUUGCACAUUAAAAAAUUACAAUUUUUUUACAUUAAAAAAUUACGAUUUUUUUUUUUUUUUUUUUGUAAUUGCUUAAAUUUGUAUCUGUUACUAGGACCAGUGAACAACUUGGGGUUGGAGAUGUUAUCGAGCAUGUUUGGUGGACUUGGAGCUGGUAGCCUAGCUGUUCCAAACAGAUCAAAUGGUUAGUUAGGAUUGCUAUUGUUUUUGUAAUUUUCUACCUGCAUUACUAUUCUAAAUAAUUUUUAUACUGAUCUCUCCUCGAUGUCUUCCCAGAGCCUCCAGAGACAUUGUAUGCUACCCAGCUUACCCAGCUUCAAGAGAUGGGAUUCUUUGACACACAAGAGAACUUAAGGGCUCUUAUUGCUACAUCAGGGAAUGUUCAUGCAGCGGUUGAGCGACUUUUGGGAAACUCUGGACAGUAGCAGGUAAAAUUGGCUGAUUUCCUUUGGUGAAGGUUCUUCAGUGGAUUGAGUUUGAUCCAUUCAAACUCAGUUGCGUUCAACCGCCUUGUUUGGCAUUUAAAUAUAAUUUCCAAAUUAUAAUGGUUGAGACACAAAACUGACUGGUGAUAUAGGUUAUACGUUGGGCUGAAUCUGUGAUUAUCACUUAUCCUCUUUCAAGUUCUGAUGACAUGUUUACUUCAUGUACAUAUGUUAAUAAUUGUUUUAGACACCCGAGAUUAUAUUUUAAGACCGUUCAUGUAUUAAUAUAUUUUUUGGUUAUUCAUUUAUUAAUACUUCAAUAACUUCAUAGUUGCUGAUUUGGCAGGUGGGAAGGGACACAAGACUAGCAAUUUAAAAUCCCAAACGCUAAAAUGUGGUGUGAGAUAUUUUAUCAGUUUACUUUUGAUUUUCGUUAUCGGAAUUAUGUUCAAACAAAUCUGUUGAUUUUUUAACAUUUAGAGUCCAACAUUCCAAUUACUAAUCAUAGAUUGAACAACAAGAAAAUACAAGCCUUUUGUAUCAAAUACGUGUAUAUUUUUUUUACUUGCACAUUUGCAAGUAUUGGCCUCAAGAUACACUAAAAGAAGGGGUUCAUGUUCGACGAUGAAUUUUUUUUUUUUUUUUGAAGUAUUUGAAGAUGAACUUAGUUAUAAUAUUAUAAGGAUGCAUAUAAUUAUAAUUUUUAUAAGGCCGUUUUCUUUUAUUUUUUGGGUUGUCAUUUGAGUUGUUAACCUUGUUCCCAAUUUUUAUGUCAAGAUUAAACAAUAAAGAAAUGAAUCUAUUUUUGAUGUAUGAAAUUCUUUCAAAUUUAUUCUCUCUAAAGAGACUACAAUGUUUUGGAACCUAAAUAUUUGGUAACAUCGUUGGUACGAUAACAAACCCUUUUCCGUAGUAAAGGGAAAAUUUAUACAUAAGCUCCUCAAAGAUAUAUGCUUCUUGGCCAUUAAACUUCAAUGAAGGUUCUCAAUGCUGAUAUUUUUUAAAUGUUUUUCUCCUAUCGAACUUGAAGUUUAAAUUCCUUUCCGUCACGUUAGUGAUGAACUCCGCAACUCUCGUUGUAAGUUUAUACCAGAACAAUAUCUCGACGCCAAAAAAUGCAACAUCCUCUCAUAAAUACAACAUACUUAUUUUUUAUUUUUUUUUUGUAUGAAAAAAUUAUAACAUUUCAUUAAUUAUAGUAGUUUGGAUACAUGUAGUAACUCCAUAAAUAAUUGAAAAGUAGCUGAAGUUGUGACCAUCUUAGAGAGUUGAUGAGCAACUUCAUUAACUUGUUUUUGAAUAAACUCAACAUGCGAAUUUGCAAUAGUGAUCCUCUACGUUACAUUUAGACUGAUAUGAUAGCACCAAAGUCAAAUCCACUUUUAUACUGUUAAAAAUAUCCACUACCCUUUUGGAGUUUAAUUCAUAGUGACACAUUAUUUAAAUGAAGCUCUUUGAAUCAUUUUGAUGCGUAAAGAAAACAUAACACUACAACCUCAUCAACAUUAAGGAUUAGCGAGAUCUGUUUUGUCUUUGCGAAAACAAACCAACCUUGAUCUUCACAGGAAUGAAUCAUCCGAUUCUAAAAUUGAAUUACAAGGCUGUAUUACACAAUGGAUUGACUACUUGACGAUUAAACGAGCUGAUAUGUUAAUAUCAACAAGAAUGAAUUACAAGUAUAUGUAUCAAGAAGAUUUUAACAGCGAUUAUUAAGAAAUAGGCAUUUACGGGAUAAUCAUUUACUAAAUGUUUUAAAAAUUUGUAAAAACAAUUUAUAAUACCUUUAAAAGAUACAUUUAAAUUAUGCAAAAUCUAUCAUAUUACAUAUGUAGAAACCAUUGGAAUUGCAAUUAUUCCUUUCUAAAAAUGCUGGUUUUUGGAUUUCCAAACCGUUAUAUUUGAAUUUUCAAAUUCUAUUUUGAAAAAAAAUAUUCUUGUUGUUAGGUUGAGUCGACUAGGUCGCUCUCUAUUAUGACCAUUAAAAUAUGGUGUUACCACCAUUCUAACUUGUAACAUUUUCAAAUGUUAAUAUGAUAUUUCAACCAGACAAAUAUUGGCGGUGGUGGAUCGUAUUGUCUCCGUCUUGGUUGCAGACUUGAUGAGUUGCUAAUCUUUUUCAAAGCUUGAUGAAUCAACCCGCAUUUAUGUUUAAGUGAAAGAUAAACACCCUACUCAUUCUCCUUGGUGAUUUCGUAUAGGAAAGGCUUGCAGCUCUUGAAGAUAAACACGCUACUCUAUCAUAUGAAAAAUGCACAUGAAUGAAUUUACUCACUCUAAUUGGCUUGAAAUAGGAAAAGACUAAUAAAUAUUUUAACGUAAAGAUACAUUUAUAGGAUAUAUGUAAUCAAGCUACAGGUGGAGUGUAGUCUCCUGUAGAGUCGUUAGAGAUGGUAAAUAUUCCAACAUAAAUUUCCGUCCAAUAAUAGUAUAUAUAUGGUAACAUUAGGGCUUGGGGAAAAAGCAACUAAUUUGCUUGCUACUCAAGUAAAGUAUGGAAAAGCCAUUCACGCCCUCAAAUGAACAUACAACUCACUCUUAUUUGCGGCAAUCCCUAUCUUCCCAAUGGCUUCUAAUCAAAUCUCAAUGGCUUCUGAUCAACUCUUCCUCUCCUCCGAUCUCCUUAACCCCGUCUCCUUUUCUCUCCUUUGCCCUAUCGCCUUUUUCGCUUAUGGCUCUUUGAAGUCCACGCUCCCUCUUCUUCGCUCGGUAGCCUCUUUCCCAAAGUCCAUGCCCCCUCUCCGUCGCAUGGUCACCUCUUCCCCCGAGCCCAUGCCCCCUGAUCUUCUUCGAUCGGCCGACUCUUCCCCCAAGCCCCCUCUCAUUCGCCUCGUCGCCCCUUCCCUCAUAGGUUUAUCCGCUUACCGCUCUUUCAACUCCAUGCUAGCCUCUUCCGCUUACUACUGUUUCAACUCCAUGCCCACGUUUUCCGCUCACAACUGUUUCAAUUCCAGGCUUCCUCGGCUUCCUCCGGUCGUCUCUUCACCAAACUCUUCCCCCAAGUCUCCUCUCCUAGGUGUCGCCGCCUCUUCCCUCAUAGCCUCUUACACUUACCGCACUUUCAACUCCAUGCCAGACUUUUCCGCUUACAACGGUUUCAACUCCAUGCCUCCACCUCUCACUCGCCCCCUCACUUACCGCAUGCCUAACACUCCCAGUGGCCCCAAAAGUCUCAGUAAUUGUUACUUCUAAUUUAUUAACACUUAAUAAUAUCUUAAAUUUCUGUUCAUGUUGAUUUGAUUCUCUCAUACUUAAACAUUUUCCUUGCUUUAUUUUUUUUAGGUCGUAAAGUGAAAAUGGAUCGAUUGAAGGAAAAGGUCAAAACAAUGGAUUAUGAAGAUAUAUUUUCUAUCAUUUUUUUGGGGUAUAUGGGCGUCAUCUUUCAUAUCUGGUAUAUAUCAUGACUUCCUAUUAUGAAGGAAACUGAUCUGAUUCAUGUUGAAGUUAAAUAGAAGAGUAUGGUCUUUUUUUUCUUCAUUAUUUUUCUUUAUUGAGUCAUGUUUCCUAGAACAACCACACUUGCAAGAGAGACGCCACACUCUUACUCAAAUGCUUAAGGCAAUGGGUUUAUGAACACACCCCCUCAAGUGUGAGUCCAUCUAUUCAUCAUGCUCCCCCUUCAAGGGGAAGCUCUUACUUUGCCUGUAUCACCGUUCAAGCGGAAGCUCUUACUUUGCAUGUAUCACCGUUCCUGCACAAGGAGCCACUUGCUGCUUGUAGCGCCGUUGCAGCUUUCUGCGCAACGACCGGCUGCCUCGGUCGUACCCUUUGUCGAACGGGGCUCUGAUACCGCACUUGGGUCACGAGGGGAGCUAGGGGGACCGUCCACAUUGAGGCUAGACCAGCACAUAAACAAGAGAGACACCACACUCUUACCCAAAAUCUUAAGGCAAUGGGUUUAUGGGUCCUCUUACUUAUAAGGUGUUCAACCUUUACUAUUCUAUCUGAUGUGAGACAUAUAACUCACAUUUGCAAACCAACACAUGGAAGUUAGAUUUUUUUUCCCAAUAAUGUCAUGUUUAUUUUCUUUGCUAUUGAAAAGUGAAGAUGUUGGUCAUAAUCAAUUGAUGUUUCAUAAAUUUUGAUUCACAUACUUGUUUUCUAGAUGUUUCCUUUUGUUCCUUAGUUUCCUUUUUACUUUUAGCAUUGCAUGACUUGACAAGUUGAAAUUAUUAUUGAGUUUUUGACUAAAAAAUAGGAUUUUAUUGAUUUAUAACAUUAAUUAGUGCAAAUAUAUUGCUUCUAAUGAAUUAAAUAUAUUGCUUCUAGAUCUGUUUUAUUCUCAUGUGCUAUAUUGUUUCAACACCAUUUUUGGCUGGUUUAAUUGGAGGACUAGCAUUUUGUAUUGGUUUUAGUGGCAUACUGGAUUGCUGCUAGCUUUUAUGUUAUGACAAAUUCUAUGGUACACUCAACAUUUUGAGUGUACCGGUAUACCAAACAUUAAAUUAAUAAUUAAAUUGAUUGUUUUUUGAAGAAAAAAUAAUUAUUUUCUAUCAUUGACAAUUAUAAUAAUUAAAUCUUAUUUAUCAAAAGCUAGCUUUUAUGUUAUGGCAAAUUCUAUGGUACACUCGACAUUUUGAGUGUACCGGUAUACCAAACAUUAAAUUAAUAAUUAAAUUGAUUGUUUUUUGAAGAAAAAAUAAUUAUUUUCUAUCAUUGACAAUUAUAAUAAUUAAAUCUUAUUUAUCAAAAGCGUCGAUGAAAUAAAAUUUACUUUUUUUGAAUUUUUAUUGCUCAUAAUGAAGAAUAUUAAUUAUUUUUUACGAGAAAAUAUAAAAAUUUAAUAUAAUUCAUAUAAACGAUGAAAUGAUGUUUUUUUUUUUUUUAUUUUUUUUUUUAUAAGAUGGUGUUUUCUAAAAUAUAAUUAAUGACAAAUAACAACUUAUUUCAUAAAAUGAUCCUUAAUUUAUAAAUUUAUGAAGCAGAGUAUCGGUACACCUCAAUUUAUGAGGUGUACCGUAGAAGCUCCCUUAUGUUAUGCAUUGUUCGUACGCGUAUUAAACAGAUGAUCAUACAUAUAAAAUAAAGAAUUGCGACAUGUUGAUUUAUUAUGAAUUGUGAAUUACUAAAGAUACUGGUGAAAAUGCACCAUUUCAUUUCAUAUAUUGUACUAUAGUAGAAAACAAGAAUAAAAAGGAGAAAGCCAAAAAGUAAAGAAACCAAGGACAAUUAUUGUCUUGCCUCGGAAAAUGACGAGAAAGUCAAAAGCAUAAGAAACAAAAGCGAAAUAAAAAAAAAGCAGGAAACUAAUCAAAGAAUCUUGACUCCUUCUUUAUUCAGUUCCUCCUCUCCCUUCAUAAUCAUGCGUUUGUUGAAAAUAUGGUUCUUGCGAAGAAACCAAAGUGGAAUUUACAUCCCUCAGAAGAACAUGACACCGUUAGUGUUAUGACCACGGCUAUAACAACAAAAGUCAGAAUGGAGAGAAUCGCUAUAACGAUCGACUUAAUAUUGCUUGUUAGCCAUGCCCACUUUUCCAUAGAACUACUGCACUCAAAGCACAUUUUAUAUUUUAGAUAAUAUAUAAACUGUUCCCCAAAUUAAUACAGUAAUUUAUUAGAAAAAUGAAGGAAAAAUAAAAUUAAUCUUAUUCAAAAGAUAUCUAUUUCAUGCAAAACAUCUUAUUGUUUGUCAUAACACACACUUAGACUAACCUCUUGGAAGUUGUUUUAGGGCAGAAUGUGAUGAGGUAAUUUGUUGAGUCACAUAUACCCUGGAACAUUUUUGAGGCAUCGACGUUGGCAAGAGGGCAAGCACCACUAAAGAAUUUGCAAAAUUUAUGAUCGUCAGACUACGAACACGCAUUUUUACAUGCUACACAGUCACUCCCUCUCAUCAAUUUUGCUUCGCUUGGACAUAGUGAGUUCAAGUCCACGUCGCAGCCAACCAUCGUGCAUUCUCCGAUACCAUUUCCAGAUUUAGGCUCAAUCAUUAUUGGAAUGUUGUAACCUUCCAAGAAACUGACUUUGAAGAAAUCUUGUCCGCUUGACGCAUUUAAGGUGAAUUCUGCUAGUGUAGCAGGUGGUGUGGCGCUUCCAUCAUCACAUUCCACGGUGGAGGAAGAGCAGUCACCCGUGACACAUGCAAACUUGCCGUUGAUAUCAUUAGCGCAGAGUGUCCGUGCCCACAAGUGGCCUGACCACGAAGGUGGGAUCGCGAUAAUUAUGGUACUCAACUCCCCGGGUGCAAGGGCAAAACCCGUUGUUGAGAGCAUUGGGGUGAUUGGCCGAGGUGAAAUAGCGGGCCAGACUGUGUGGUUGCACUUGUUCACGACUGUAAAUGUUGUUGGAUAAGCGCCUACAAAUAAAAGAAUCAAUGACAUUCAUAGAAGACAUAAAAUAGGAAGAAUUCUUGACUUGAAUAACAAAAUAAAAAUUGGGUGAUGAGAAUGCGUAUGACAUACCUGCGAUGCCGAGGAAGAGAUAGAGAAUGACAAAGUUGGUUGCAAAUUGAGUUGUCGCUAACAUCGUUACGUGACUUUUUGGAAGAAAGUAAAAAGUUGGGUUCUCUUAAUGUUUUGAGACCCUUACAAUGUAUAAAUAUACUUUUUUAUCCGGAAUUUACGGGUACUCAAACAUGGAUUCAGAUUAGCUUAAUUAAUUGAAUGGGUAGUAGACUAAUUUAUUUACUUAUUUUCACUCAAAAGGAGAAUAUAAUGUUGAACAAAUUAUAUUCAAAAGGAAAAAUAUUGAAUAAAUAAGAUUUAAAUGAUUUUGCUAACACAAACAAGAUUCUUUUAAGUAUUACUUUUGUUAAUUACUACGUCAAUGUUUUGCAUACCCGUUUCUUUCUUACCAAAAGAAAAAAUGUUUAAGAAAUACGGUUGAAAUGAUUAUGCUAACAAGACGUAUUUAGGCUACAUAAGUAUGCAUAAACAAGAUUUUUAAGUAUUGCUCUCAAAAAAAAAAAAAGAUUUUUAAUUAUUAUUUAUUUUGUGUUAAUUACAACGUCAAAGUUUUGUAUACAGUAUAGUUUUAUAAAAAUUAAUCCCAACAUCAAUACAGUAUUGUUUUGUGUUCAAUUGUUUAUCAAAAAAAUUCUUUCAUUAAUACUGCCAAUUCUAUUUUUUAUAGAAUGGUAUUUAAAUCUUAUUAGAAACAAUUCUUUUGUAGUUGCAUUUGUCAAAGAUUACAUGGAAGUAGAUUGAAUGUACAAGUUCAUCAAAGCAAUGAUAAUUUAAUAAAAGUUAGUGGAACCUUUAUGUUGGAGUAUUAUUGGACAAAAACAGGUUGAACUAUCCUUCAUUUUUCUUUUUGUUGAUAUACGUAACAGCUUUGCGAACAUCAAAAUUGAAUCAAUAGAAAGAAAAUUCUUAAAAAAAUAAUAUCAACAUAAAAAAUAUAAAUAACAUUCGGACCAAUUAUAUUUCUAUUUGGAUAAUGAAUCAUUUGAUUAAUUGAUAUGGACCAAUUAAUUAUACACAUCUUAAUGAAUGAAUCAAUUUUUAGUUUUAUGUAUUCGGUUUAGGCAUAUUAUUUUCGGUUUACAUAUUAAAGUGACGAUUUUUUACUUUUAUUUUAGUUUAUGUUAUACUACUUAUCAACAUAAAACCUUUAUCAUAUCAUCAGUUAACAGAAUUAUUUAAUGUCAUAAACUAAAGUGAUAAUGGAAAUGCAUAUUUAAGGACUACUUUACAUUUAAUUAUGAUUAGAAACUUUUAUGAUAGCGAGGUGCAGAGUCUCAGACCAAAAUUAUCAUUUACUCAUUUUUGUUAUGUUUCUAGUCUUGUGUUCAGGAGAGAUCUUGGAUCAUUAGAUAAUUCAUGAACAUUGGCAAUUGGUUUUAGAUUAAUACUCCCUCCGUUUCAAAAUACAUGUCCAAGUCAACCACUUCACAUAUGCCAAUGCAUAAUUUUGACUGUUAAUAUCUUUAAUUUUCUGAAGUAAAAAAUUAUAAAAAUUUAAUAUUUUGAAAAUAUUUGUCGAGACAAAUCAAACAACAUCUUACAUGCUAAUAUUUGUAUUUAUAUAUUAGUUAAAAAGUAUGGUCAAAGUAAGUCAAAUGAAUAGUGCACAUUGCAAAAAUUAAACAUGUAUUUUAAAACGGAGGGAGUACUAUUCUACAUUUCUACUUCGUGUGUAGGUAAUGAUGCUAUUUGAGUUUGGGGUAAGUAAAUAGGUCUGAAGGAGGUCAUAUAUGUGUAUGAUGAAUGUGCGUGUCAUCGUGUAACUUAUGGUGAUAAUGUCUCGUGGGUCCUAUUGUCAACUUUAUGCCACAUUGGGAUUGGGAAAGAAAUGUAAUUGUACUUUCUAAUUCUCCAUAAGUAACAUACUAGGAGUAGCAGAAUUUCCUAACCAAAACUUCUGUUGGAUAAUUAAUAAUCAUUUAUGAUUUAAGAGUAUCCUAGAGUUGAUAUAAAUAUCUGAAUUUCAAUGAUAGAAAAUAAUUAAAAGAUUAAAUUUUGUCCUUGAAAUUGAAUAAGUCUCUAUUUUAAAGGAAAUCAAAUUAUAAGCAGUACAUAUUAUUCAUCACAAGUAUUACAUGUCUAGUCAAUAAUCAUACGAGGAUACUCAUCAAAUUAGUUAAUAGUUAUGUAAAUGUCCAUUAUAGUGGGAGGAUAUGUGGGGGCAUGACUCAUGAGUACAAUUUAGUUAGUUUUAGUUUCUGAAGUGCAGAUCCUAAAGUGCAGUUUCUGAAGUACAUCUUCUGAAGUACAGCUCACAAAGCCAUUAAAGCUAAGCAGCUUUGAUUACUUGAAGAAGAAGUUAGGAAUGGCUGAAGCAUCUAACUAAAUGAAUUAAGGAGGUGUAUUGGUUUAGUAAUUCAAUUUAGUUAGUUUUAGCUUCUGUGCAGCUUCUGAAGUACAGCUUCUGAAGUACAAUUUCUGAAGUCUUCAGAAGCAGAGUCUAGUAAUAAACUUUGGUUAGCGUGUUAAUCAAGAUAGUUAGUUUGUUAGAGGAGUUUGUUACAACGUCCAGUUAUAUAUAUACUCACUCAUGUGUUGUAAAUAGAUGACAAUUCAUUCAAUAAAAUUACACAAGUCUUUUACUCAUAUCUCUGUUCUCUCUCAAAACCAUAGAAACCCAGAAUCUCAAUUCCAUCUUCUUCAAUUGAACUCAGUUUUAAGUGCUGGUUUCAUUCUAAUUUCAUACAUUGUUCCAUCAAAUUGGUAUAACAGAGCCUGGUUCGUUCAUCGUUGUUAGAGAAUUCGUGAAGAAUGGCAACUUAUAACAACAAUAUUCUUGCGCAUCUACCAAUCUUUGAAGGAAAGAACUUUGAUUAAUGGAUCGUGAAGAUGAAGGUGAUCUUCAGGUUCCAGGAUGUACUUGAAGUUGUGAAUGAAGGGAUACCAGCACUGGCAGCAAAUGCAACUGAUGUACAACAAGCAACGCAUAAAGAAUUGAAGAAGAAAGAUGGAAAAGCUCUGUUCUUGAUGCAUCAGAGUGUAAGCAAUGAGAUCUUUGAGAAGAUCAUGCAUUAUGAAAGCGUGAAGGAGACAUGGGAUACAUUAGAGAAAUUGUAUUAUGGUGAUGGUAAGUUGAAGAAGGUGAGACUUCAACCUUUGAGAAGACAGUAUGAAGUGUUGACAAUGGAAGAAGAAGAAUCUGUUAGUCAAUACUUUGAUAAGGUGAUCAAUCUUACAAAUCAGAUGACAAGGAAUGGUGAAACUGUCACUGAUGUGAUGAAGGUGGAAAAGGUUCUCAAAACCUUAACAUCAAGAUUUGAUCACAUUGUAGUGGCCCUAGAGGAAUCUAAAGACUUAGAUUCUAUGAAGAUAGAGGAACUGCAGGAAAGUCUUGAAGCACAUGAAUUGAGGUUGAUUGAUAGGAAUAAAGAAAGAGGUAAAAGUGUAUCAUCUGAUCAAGCUUUGCAAGCUCAGUAUGAGAAGAGAGGAAAAUUCAAGAAAGGGAAGAAAUUCUGAAAUAAUCACUCUCAUAAGGACGAUGAAGGUUCUAGCAAGAAUCAAGAAAAGAAUGAUGCAAAGUCUGAUCAGAAGAAGAAGAAAGAUAAGAAAGACAUUCAAUGCUAUACUUGUCAGAAGAUGGGACAUUAUGCAUCUGAAUGUAAAUCAAAGAGAGUGCCAAGAAACAAAGAUGAGGCACAAUUUGCUCAGGAUGAAGAUUCUGAUUCUGAAGAAGUACUCUUGAUGGCAACAGUCAAAGAGGAAAAAGAAAGAAGUGAUGAAUGAUAUUUGGACAUUGGGUGUUCAAAUCACAUGACAUGCAAGAAAUCUUGGUUCUCUGAAUUAGAUGAUUCAGUUAAUAGAAAAAUAAGAUUUGCAGACAAUAUUAUAGUUUGUGCAGCUGGUAUUGGGAAAGUACUAAUUCAUAGGAAGGAUGUCAAGAAAGCUUGCAUCACUGAUGUGUUGUAUGUACCAAACAUGAGAAGCAAUCUCAUUAGUAUUGGUCAAUUACUACAAAAAGGAUACACUAUGAAGGGUGAGGCACAAGCGAUGAAGGUAUUUGAUAGCAAGAGUAGGUUGAUUCUGAAAGCUCCUAUGUAAAAGUAAAUAACUUUCAAAAUCAACAUCAGUGUUAUUGAAGAUAAAUGUAUGCUAUCAGAAGUUAAGAAUGAAAACUGGUUAUGACAUCAAAGAUAUGGGCAUAUCAAUUUCAGGGACUUGAAUAUGCUUAGUGAGAAGAAAAUGGUGCAAGGUUUACGAAAGAUAAAGCUGCCUAAUGAAGUAUGUCAUAUGUGUUGUAUUGGAAAGCAAGCCAGAAGUUCAUACAAUGCAAUAAUACCAUUCAAUGCAACCAGAAAACUUGAGGUAAUUCAUUCUGAUGUAUGUGGACCCUUUGAAGUGAAAUCAGUAGGAGUAAAUAGAUACUUUGUGACAUUCAUAGAUGAAUUUACUAGAAAGUUAUGGAUUUACUUGAUGGCUAAGAAAGAUGAAGUAUUUGGUGUGUUUAAGAAGUUUAGACUGCUAGUUCAAAAUGAAAGUGGUGAAAUGAUUAGCAGGCUAAGAACUGAUGGAGGAGGUGAGUAUACUUCCAAUGAGUUCAAUGACUUUUGCUCAUCAAAUGGCAUAAAUCAUGAAGUCACUGCACCAUACACACCUCAACACAAUGGAAUCUCAGAGAGGAAGAAUAGAACAUUGGUAAAUAUGAUAAGAAGCAUGCUGAAGCAAAAGCAGAUGCCUCAUUAUUUGUGGGGAGAAGUAGCUGCUACUGCAGCAUAUCUCAUCAAUAGAAGCCCUACAAAGAAGCUACAAGACAAAACACCAGAAGAAGCAUGGUGUGGAGUAAAACCAAAUGUUCAGCAUCUGAAGAUUUUUGGCUCAUUGUGUUUCAGACAUGUACCUGAUCAAAUUAGAAGAAAACUAGUUGGUGAUACAGAUGAAGGAGGUGCAGGUGUUGUUAAUAUGCCAACAAGGAAUACUCAACCACCAGUCAGAUUGAGAGAUUUCCUGAUCAAGCAGUCACAAAUGAAGGUGAUAUUGUGCAAUCAGCUAUGCUUGCUGAAGCUAAACCAAUAUCUUUUGAGGAAGCUCUUAAAAAAAAAAUCACUGGAAGAAAGCAAUGAUUGAAGAACUAGACUCUAUAGAGAAGAAUGAAACUUGGAGAUUAGUUCAACUACCUACUGAUAAGAAGUGUAUUGAUGUUAAGUGGGUUUUCAAGACAAAACUGAAGCCAGAUGGUCAGGUUGCAAAAUACAAGGCCAGGCUAGUUGCAAGAGGAUUCUUACAGAAGUAUGGUCAAGAUUAUUAUGAAGUAUAUGCUCCAGUGGCAAGGAUGGAAACAAUCAGAUUGAUUAUUGCUAUAGCAGUCAAGAACAACUGGUCAAUGUACCAGUUAGAUGUGAAAUCAACAUUUCUCAAUGGUGAGCUUGAAGAAGAAGUAUAUGCGAAUCAACCACCAUGAUUUGAGAUAAAGGAAAAGGAGGAGUAUGUAUAUAAGCUUGACAAAGCUCUGUAUGGUUUAAAGCAAGCUACAAGAGCUUGGAAUAAGAAAAUAGAUAAUUUUCUUGUUCAACAAGGUUUCAUGAAGUGUGUAACUGAACAUGGAAUUUACUGCAAAAACACCACUAGUAAGCUUAUUGUAUGCUUAUAUGUGGAUGACAUUAUUGUCUUUGGUAAAUGAUGAGAAAGAAGUGGAUCAAACUCUAUUCAAGCAAAUUGUGGGUUCAUUGAGGUAUUUGUGCCAUACAAGACCUGAUAUUGCAUAUGGUGUAGGUUUGAUCAGCAGGUACAUGGUGAAACCUACCACCUCACACCUAGUUGCAGCAAAGAGGAUUCUGAGAUAUGUGAAGGGUACUAGCAAUUAUGGUAUCCAUUACUCUAAGAAUCAGAGUGGUGAACUAGUAGGGUACUCAGACUCUGAUUGGAGUGGAGAUAAAGAUGGUAGGAAAAACACUGCUGCUUAUGUGUUCAUGAUUGGAAAUGCAGCCUUUUCAUGGAGUUCUAAGAAGGAAUCAGUAGUUGCAUUAUCUUCUUGUGAAGCAGAGUACAUUGCAGCUUCCAUGACAGCAUGUCAAGCUCAAUGGUUCAACAUGUUACUGAUGGAAUUACAAUUGAUGAAGGAUGAGAAGAUGGAACUCAGAAUUGAUAGCAAAUCUGCUAUAGACUUGGCAAAACAUCCAGUAGCACAUGGUAGGAGCAAGCAUAUUGAAACCAAAUUCCAUUUUCUAAGAGACCAGGUGAACAAUAGAAAGUUGGAAGUAAAGCACUGCAAAACAGAUGAGCAGAUACCAGACCUGCUCACAAAGCCAUUAAAGCUAAGCAACUUUGAUUACUUGAAGAAGAAGUUAGGAAUGGUUGAAGCAUCUAACUAAAUGAAUUAAGGAGGUGUAUUGGUUUAGUAAUUCAAUUUAGUUAGUUUUAGCUUCUGAAGUGCAGCUUCUGAAGUACAGUUUCUGAAGUACAACUUCUGAUGUCUUCAGAAGCAGAGUCUAGUAAUAAACCUUGGUUAGCGUGUUAACCAAGGUAGUUAGUUUGUUAAAGGAGUUUGUUACAACGUCCAGUUAUAUAUAUACCCACUCAUGUGUUGUAAAUAGAUGACAAUUCAUUCAAUAAAAUUACACAAGUCUUUUACUCAUAUCUCUGUUCUCUCUCAAAACCAUAAAAACCCAGAAUCUCAAUUCCAUCUUCUUCAAUUGAACUCAGUUUUAAGUGUUGGUUUCAUUCUAAUUUCAUACAUUGUUACAUCAAUGAGACUAUUUCAUGUGGUUACAAAACAUCAAAAUGACCAGUUAGUAAUUAAAAUAAUUAAAAAAUACUUCACAUACCGUCCCUGACUCCAUGAUACUAAUCUUUAACUAUACCGUCGAGAGGCCACACCCAGCGUGAUUCAUUCUAGGAAAGGGUCACAAAAGAUCACAUUAUUCAUGCACAUUCAAUUUAGGUAACAUACAAUUAAAUAAUAUUGCACAAAAGAUCACACAAUCACAUGACGAAUUUAAGGGGAAAAUACGAAUGCACCUAUGUUAAUGUUAAAAUAUAUAAGUUAGCCCUUGCAAGAUUCUCUGCCUAAUAACUAAUUAAAUCUAGUUGGACACUUUGACCAUUGUAGUCUUUAGCCGAACUUAAGGAUGCAUGAGUUUAAUUGCUAGUGAUUAUGGUUUGCAUGAUAUCUUAUAGUUAGAUUCUAAGGGUAGGAAUCUAUUUUUAUUCAUUCAUCACUUCAGUGUUGUACCCUAAAUCCUUUCCUUUAUUACUGAUGAUUACAACUAUGAGCUUAAAAAUUAAUCACAAUAAUUUCAAGUACUUAGUUUGAGUAAUCAAGUUGCAUGGAUAAAAAGGCAUCAAAAUAACUUCAUGCACAAAAAAUGCACGAUUUUUUCAAUUAUCACACUAUUAAAAGUAAAGAUUUUUUCAAUACUCAUUAUCAGAGCGUACGUAAAAAGAAUGUAAAUUUCAAAUUCUGCACAAAGAUUUUCAGCACAUGCGUAUAUAGGAUAGUAGGAGGUUCAAAACAUGUCAAAAAUAAUUCACAAAAUUUAACAUGCAAAUUCCUAACAUUUUUUUUUUAAAGAAUGCAAAUUCCUAACAUGUAUACAAACAAUAUAUAGGCUGUACCACAUGAAAAUAUUGUACCAAAUAUGUAUAGUAAUUUCGGACAUAAAGGUUGUUAAACUCAAAUUUUUACGUUAACUCGUUUUACCUAUGACGAAUCGACUCAUAAACUCGUGAGUUUAACUCAUAUUAAAAUUAUUAUAUACACGACAUAUAAAUUUACUUGAUACUAUAAGUGCAUCAAUAGUUAAAAUUCCAACUUAAUUAUAAAUAAAAAAUUAUACCAAAUCUUCAUAAUAAAAUGUCAUUUUCAUAAACUUGUACCAAACUACAUAAAUACCCCACCAAAUUAUAAAAACAUCUAACUAUUCAAAAAAGGGUUAAAUAUAUUUUUGGUCUCUAUAAAUAUGUCAACUUUUCGUUUUCGUCUCUCUAAUUUUAUUUUUUUCAACUUUUAAUCCUCCAAAAGUUAUUCAUCUUCAUUUUUGAUCACUCCUUUAAAGUAAACUCAUAUGUAGAAUUCAUGUUUUUGAAUAAAAUUGUGCAGAAAAGUUUAUCAUAUUAUAAGAAUCUCUCCCCAAAAAAAUUAGAAUUUUUACAAUAUUCUUUUUGGAGAGAUUUUUACAAUAUUUUACACAUUUAUGCACAAUUGCAUUAAAAAAAAUAAUACAAAAACCAACUUAAAAAUAGGGACCAAAAGUAGUUAUUGAAAAUUUUAUAGGGACUAAAACUUAAAGAAAAAUUUUAAAGAGACUAAAACAAAAAGAUGAUAUAUUUAUAGAGACCAAAAACAUAUUCAACCCUUCAAAAAACAAGAGUAUAAUAUAAGUCUCUAAAAUCAUUGUAAACCUAUUUCACCUGAGAGGAGAAUUUUGUCUCCAUUGUAGUUCAAUCUGACACGAGAGAUAACUAACCUCUAAAGCUUUGAUCAAAGGAUUUAACCAAAAAAAAUCAUUUAACCUCAACUGUAUGGGCCAGUUUACUUUUUGAAAACAUUUUCCAUUUUAAUUUCCUAAAACAAAUGAGUUUGUUUUUACUUUGUAGCAAGGACAAAAUAUGGUCUUGAAGUGAACAAUUGUCUUUCUUUUGCAAAAACAACAAAAGUGUCUAAAGAGGGAUUUUCAUUAUUUUCCAAAGUGUUUCAUCUGUAUCUAGAAUUUUAUCACAUUUCUUCUCAAAUAAAUGAACUUUAAUCGUGAUGAUUAGUUGAAUUAAUUGAAAAUAAAACUAAGUAUAUGUAUCUUUUUAUCUAAGUGGUAAGAGACUUGAGGCUUCUAAAAAAAUGGUCAAAUGUUUGAUACCGAACUCUUGUGUAUCGAGAAAAUCUUGUACAAAUGAAAAAAAAUCCACCUUUGUACUCCAAAAGUUUCUCAAAAGAGAUUAUCACUGCUAAGUUGCAGUAGAAAUUUUGUACCUAUAAAAUGGUAACCCAUUUUUUCUUAUUGCUAUGUUUUCUAGAUAUGAGUUAUGAUAAGUAUAUAAAUAAUCAAUAAAAAGUAUCAUUCGAUCAAUGAAAAAAUUCUUGAGGUUGGAGUUUUAUCACCUGCUGUAGUCCUAUCUAACUCGAGAGGAAUUUUAUCAUCUGUUAUGAUCCUAUUUAAUUUGAGAGAUAAUCAACUUCAUAGUUGUGUACAUAGGAUAAUCAAUUUUUCGACACCUUGCCAUAAAGAUUUUCGACACAACGAAACUUGUCGGUUGAACACCUUUCCAUAAAGACUUUAGACACAAGGGACCGGUCAAGCCUUUUGUUGAACCUCGACUCUGACCCCAUUGUUGGGUCAAGAGGGGAUCCCGUGGGACCACUAACAUUAGACAAAAGCAACCACACAAGUAAGAGAGACACUAUAUUUUUACCUAAAAUUUUAAGGCAUUAGGUUUAUGGCUCCUCUCACUUAUAAAUGACUCAACCUCCACUUUUCUAUUCAAUGUGAAACAUAUAACUCACACUUUCACACAACAAUCUCACAUACACAAUCAUGACAUUUUUAAAACCCAUGGAGUGUUUUGAUAAGAUGAGUUGGAUUUCUUCAAACUUGACACAAGGUCUUGGGUUCGAAUACAACUUUGGAAAUUCAUCAACAUUAAAACUCUUAAGGUAGGAGUUUUGUCGCUCGUUGUAGUCCUAACUAACUCGAGUGCAAUUUUAUCGUCCAUUGUGAACUUAUCUGAUUUGUUUUUUUCGGUGAUCAGUAUUUUGGUUGAAGCUAGAUUGGGAAUGUGUUUACCUUUUUGAUCGUUGAUUCUAUUAGCAUAUUAUGGUCUUGUGAUUAGCUCUCUCUCGUUUUCUGCAAAUCAGGUUCGGUUGUAGCAUUUUUCAAUUGAUCUCACGGAUUAGCUUAUUUUUUUUCUCUCCAUGUGAUUAAUAGUUGUUGAAUUCUCUUGUUAUUAGCUAGUUGGAUUUGUUUGCUGCAAGCGACGAUGCCAACAUUGUGCGGUUGGUCAACUCUUAUUGAUUUGGUCACACUACUCUUUUACUUCUUCUAAUUACUAGGUGGAUUAAUGAAUCAGUUGAAGAUCAAUAGAGUUUUGAAAUCAAAUUUGCAUGGUUUUGCCAAAUAUGUCUAAUUAAUUAAUUUGAAGCUACAUGAAUAGUAAGGAAUGAUUUUCCAGGCCGUAAGUUGGUGUUGACAAGUUAUUCAGUGCGGGAUGGUUAAUUGGAUAUCUUUGUAUAUUUUAUGACAUAUUUCCGGUAGCUCCUCUUUUGUUGGUUGACUCCUCUCUAUUUAGUUGUUGCUUCUCAUUUGGUUGUUCGUCUCUCUUUUUUUGUUUGAGUGUAUUUUCUUGUUUGUUGGUUGUUUGAGUUUAGUUCGUUGUUUGGAUUUUGGUGUGUUUUUAUGGCUUUUGUGGUGUUUGGGUUCGGCCUUCCCGAUCUCCUUAUUUUUCUUUGAUUUGAUUUGUUUUAGUUUGCAGUUUCGUUUGGUUUAGUUUGGUUAAUUUUGUUUCGUCAAUUUGUCUUUGCAUGGUUCGUGUGGUUCAGUUCGGUUUGAUUUGGAUUCGCUUGGUUGAAUUUGUUUGGUUGUUAGGUGAGUUAAGAUAGUCCUCACAAUUCGUUUGUUUGUUUGGUGAGUCGAGUGCUCACACUUCGGUUGUUUGGUGAGUCGAGUGCUCACAAUUUGGUUGUUUGGUGAGUUAAAUACUCACAAUUUGAUUUCUUAUCCCCCUUUUGAUUCUUUCUAAUUGAUUGCAUUGCACUUCUGAUCCCCUUUUGAUUCUUCUGAUUGAUUGCACUUCUCCCCAUAUUGAUUCUUCUCAUUGUUUGCAUUGCACUUCUCUUCCUUUUUGGUUAUUCUGAUUGAUUGCACUUCUCCUUGUUUUGGUUCUUCUCAUUGAUUGCAUUUCUCCCCCUUUUGAUUCUUUUGAUUGCACUUCUCCCACUUUUGAUGAUUCUUUCGUUCUCUCUCUCUCUCUCUCUCUCUCUAUAUAUAUAUAUAUAUAUAUAUAUAUAUAUAUAUAUAUAUAUAUUGGUUCUUCUGUAUGGUUGCUUCUUCCUACCGAUUCUUGUUUGGUUUAGUUCGAAAUGACUCUUCUACUUGGAUGGUUCUUGCUGCUCUUCAUUGGUUAUGCUACGAGCUAAUUUGGUUUAUUUUCGGGGUUAAUUUGUAACAAGCUUAAUAAUUAAGCAUCAGCUUGAUGGGUUGUGUUAGAACUUUAUAUUAUUUAGUAUGUUUUUCAUAUUUUGUAUGACAAACUCACAAUACUUCUUGUUGAUGCAUCAUGAGUUUGAGGGUAGAUGUUAGAUGAUAAAGUAUUGGACUUAAACCAAUAUUAGUAAAUUAGAGUCCAUUAGGUUUAUUAUAUAUUCUCUUGCAAACCUUUUGUAAUAUUAAUCUAUUUUGUAUUCCAUAAAACCCUAACCGUCGUCUUUGUUAGUCUCUUUAUUAUUCUCUAUUAAAACCUUAUAAUGCUAACAAAACUAAAAAAAAAUUUAGAAAAUGAAAACAAAAUAAUAAUUUUACAAAGUAAACGUCCCUAAUUAAGUUUAUGAAUACAUAAAGUGUUGUGAACAAUUCAUCUCAAAUAACUUGAAUAUAAUCAUAGUUAUUAAUUGAGUGGCAUAGAUGUGUUUAUUCCACCCUUCAUGGUAAUUUUUUUUAAUUGUCUUAUCUUUCUUUAUUAGGUUAAAUAUGUUUUUGGUUUUUAUAAAUAUACCAACAUUUUGUUUUAGUUUUUCUAAAAUUUUACUUCAACUUUUUGUCCAUAUAAAAUUUUCAAUCACUACAUUUGGUUUAUAUUUUUAAUUUAAUUUUUGUAUUAUUUUAAUGAAAUUGUGCAAUAUGUAGAAUAUUGUAAAAAUAUCUUCCAAAAAAAAAAUUAGAAUUUUAUAACAAAACAUAAAUUAAAUUUAACCACAAAAAUAUAAAAAUUCAUAUUUAAUUCAUGUUUUUUUUAAAAAUUCUAAUUUAUUUUAGGAGAGAUUCUUAUAAUAUUAUAAAUUUUAUUCAAAAAUAUAAAUUCUACAUAUGAGUUUACUCUAAAGGAGGGACCAAAAGUGAAGAUGGAAAACUUUUAGAGGACUAAACGUUAAAAAAAAAAUUAGAGAGACUAAAAUCGUUAUUUCUUUUUUACUCUAUGAAAAAAUACACUAUUUUUUCCUCUAUAAAAAAAUCAUUUUAUGUCUUUGUAUGUUAUAAUACUGAGUGAAUAUGCUGUAAAUUGAGAACUUGUUGCAAGCUUUGUACAUUAAAAUUUCGAAAGCUUUUUGGUCGUAGUUUUAUAUUUUAAGCUUAUUUCAUUAUUUGUCAUUCAUUAUUCAUUAUUCUACUUUAGUACUCGAAUCCGAAACCCAUAAAAUAACCCACAAAUCCAAAAAAUAAAUAAAAAUAAGAAGUUGAACUAGCAGCAUAUUUGUCACAUUGAUGAUACAUCAUUCUUGUUCAUUAUGAGGCAACUCGUUCAAGUCGAUCCUAAACCUUUGCCUUCAUCAGACUCAAGUCGAUCCUAAAAGACAUGACAAUAAAUAGUUAUGAGAUAAGAAAUUAGGUUUUAGUUUUACCCUCAUGUUGAUCAGGUUUAGGUGGGAUGGGUGUUAAUGUGGAAGGAAGUGGAGAAAAACCAGGAGGUGCUGGAGAACCAUUAGGAUGACAACAAAUAUAGUGUUCUCGAUAAUGAUUCAUCAAAGCAGCCCAAGUGGGAAACACAUGUUUGCAUCUAUGACAAUGCUUCACUUCACGAAUAUUACUCUUCUUAGAUUGACCAUCACUUCCUGCUUCUCCAUCAGCUGCCAGCUGAAGGGUAGUUGGGUUGGUUUCUUUGGGGGAUUCAUCAUCAGAGGGAGGGUCUUGAGGGGACUUGUUAGUGGUGGGGGCUGAAUUCUUGGAAGGGUUAGGGUUCUGCAUGUUGAAAAUGAAUACAAAUAUGAAGAAAAAGACAAUGGAAGAUUAUGUUUGGUUUUGUGUUAUGUGUUUGUUUUAGUGCUCUAUUUAUGAUGGUUGAUGAUGUUAUACUAUGAUUAAUGUAAUACUAUUUUGUCUUUGAUUUUUAGGUAAAAAAAGAUGGCGGGAUCGGUAUAAUGUAUUUUAGUAAAGUUUUUUUUUUUUAGAAUAAAUGUAUUUUAGUAAAGUUUUUUAUUUAUUUUAUUAUUUUGUCUGAAUAUUUUUUAAAAGUGAAAAUGAUAUUCAAUGUACAUAUCGUUUAGCAUUAUAUUUGUUAGGACAAAUCGUAAAUACCGUGGGAUUUAUUACCAACUGGAUAAAUAUUCCUAGUAUUUGAUAAGUAGAUAUUUCUACAAUCUUAAAAAUCAAAUUAAUUUAUAUCACAUUGUUCAUACUAAUACAUUCUAUUUAUUUGAAGGAUCAUAAUACAUUGUAUUAUUGAUUAUCACAUCACAUUUAUCAUAAUACAUUGUAUGUAUUCGUAAAUUUAAACUGUACCCACUUAUAAUUUACUAAAACACCCUUUUGUUUAUAUUCUAAUUAAUUUUAAAUAGAAGGACAAUUUUGUAACUAGCUUGAAAAAGAUCCUUAAAAAAAGAAACAAAAAAGACAAUGCCAUGCUUAAGGUACAAAACAUGUAAUAAAGACAAACUUUUAAGGAAACAAUAUUUGGAAAGAUGAACUUUUUUUAUAAUAAAAUUGUUGUUGGUGUCAUUAAAAAAAUUAGAUUAUAUUUUUUUGAUAUAUUGUUGACGUCAUUGAAAUAGAUAAUCAUGGUUAGUUUGAUUUUUUAUAACCCAAAACAAACAAACAUUAAUAUUUUUUUAGUUUUAAUCAAAAUCAAAAAUUUCAUAAAAGAAACAUCGUUCAUAAUUUUCAAACGUUAGCGCAAUAAAAAGAGAUGAAGACGGGCACACACGUGCCCGUCCUUUCGCUAGUAAAAAUAAUUAAAACAUGUGUCUUUAAACAUUUUGGUAAUUUUUAAAAAUAUGGGAUGAUGCGUUUAAAAAUAUUUAUAUUUAUAUCUUUUAAAAUUUUAUUUUGUUUUAGUAUGAACUGGGAUCCUUUGCACGUAACUGCAACGAUUAAUCUCUCGAGCUGAUAAGAUCAUAAUGGAUGACAAAACUCUACCUCAAGAAAUUUAUAUUGAAUUUCAACCCACUUGGGUUGGUAUGAUGGUGUUGAAUUGAGAGUUGUGAUCUUGGAUUGUGCUUCUCUCUCAAUGUCUCAAAUUUGAUUUUUUUCAGUGCCAAUUUUGAUGGGUUAGUUUAUCUUCUUAAUAAAAAAAAAAAAACAAUGUUGCAUUUUCAAGGUUUGAUCUUGUUCUAUUUGUUAACAAGGAGAAAGUAAACCCUUCAAAUAAACAAUUGUCUUGUAUUUCCAUAAAGGGAAACGAUAACAGGUGCUUUUAGUGUACAUGUUAAAAAAUCUAACGAAUAAACUUUGUCUUGGAAAUUAUGCAUUCAAUGCAUUGAAACUUUAAAAAGUAUUUUUUUUACAUAAAAUUUAUCAAUUAUUUGGACUCCCUCCGUCUCACAAUUAUUAUCUUUUAACAUUUUUUUCAUUUUUUCAAAAUAAUUGUCACUUUACAAUACUAAUGCAUCAUUUAUUAUUAUUAUUUUCCACUAUUAUACUCUUAUUUAAUGAAUUUCAUUCAACUUAACUACUCCACUAACUACUAUGACCUACUAUUAAUAAGGAUGUUUUAGUAAAUGAUACUAAUUUUACCAUUGAAAUCAACACAAUUAAUCAUUAUCUUAAUAAUCGUGCACAAACCUUAAACGACUAAUAUUGUGAGACGGAGGAAAUAUUUUUUAAUCUUUAACAACCUAAGAACACUUGUUAGCAAAACCCUUCCAUAAAAAUAAUGAAAGUUGUUAAAGAGUUAUUUUCAUUGUUUCUCAAAAUCCAUCAUUCCUAACUAACAUUUUAUUCAUUCUCUUCACAACGACUCAUUUUGAAAGCCCAUUUUCUCCUUAUUAACAAGUGUGUCCGAUAUAGACCUUUAAAAAAUGUUUCAAAAUAUAUCUUUAUCAUUUUAAAUAAAAAUAAAUUUUGUAAUAAUAAGAAAUUGGUGAACAAAAAUACUAUUUUAUUUAAAUUUACUAAAAAUAGUACAAAUGUACAAUCUGGACCAGAUUCAUAUUUAAACUACCCUCUAAAAGUAACACAAAUUUUAUAAAAUGAAAAUAGAAAUUAUUUUUCAAAAAGUUAAGAAACUUUAAUUUUG
rnacentral:lncRNA from 1 species